rnacentral:rRNA from 1 species
GGCAGCGGACCUUCGGGUGCCGGCGAGUGGCGAACGGGUGAGUAAUGUAUCGGAACGUACCUUUCAGUGGGGGAUAACGUAGCGAAAGUUACGCUAAUACCGCAUAUUCUGUGAGCAGGAAAGCAGGGGAUCGCAAGACCUUGCGCUGAUUGAGCGGCCGAUAUCAGAUUAGCUAGUUGGUGAGGUAAAGGCUCACCAAGGCGACGAUCUGUAGCGGGUCUGAGAGGAUGAUCCGCCACACUGGAACUGAGACACGGUCCAGACUCCUACGGGAGGCAGCAGUGGGGAAUUUUGGACAAUGGGGGCAACCCUGAUCCAGCCAUGCCGCGUGAGUGAAGAAGGCCUUCGGGUUGUAAAG